rnacentral:rRNA from 1 species
ACGCCUUAUACAUGCAAGUCGAACGGAGUAGCAAUACUCAGUGGCAGACGGGUGAGUAACAUGUGGGUAUCUUCCCUUUGGUGAGGAAUAACACGAGGAAACUUGUGCUAAUACCUCAUAAGUCUUUACGGAGAAAGCUUUAUGCGCCAAUGGAUGAGCCCGCACUUGAUUAGUUUGUUGGCAGGGUAAUGGCCUACCAAGACUUUGAUCAAUAGCUGAUUUGAGAGGAUGAUCAGCCACAUUGGGACUGAGACACGGCCCAAACUCCUACGGGAGGCAGCAGUAGGGAAUCUUGCACAAUGGAGGAAACUCUGAUGCAGCGAUGCCGCGUGAGUGAAGAAGGCCUUUGGGUUGUAAAGCUCUUUCGUCGGGGAAGAAAAUGACUGUACCCGAAUAAGAAGGUCCGGCUAACUUCGUGCCAGCAGCCGCGGUAAUACGAAGGGACCUAGCGUAGUUCGGAAUUACUGGGCUUAAAGAGUUCGUAGGUGGUUAAAAAAGUUGGUGGUGAAAUCCCAGAGCUUAACUCUGGAACUGCCAUCAAAACUUUUUAGCUAGAGUAUGAUAGAGGAAAGCAGAAUUUCUAGUGUAGAGGUGAAAUUCGUAGAUAUUAGAAAGAAUACCAAUUGCGAAGGCAGCUUUCUGGAUCAUUACUGACACUGAGGAACGAAAGCAUGGGUAGCGAAGAGGAUUAGAUACCCUCGUAGUCCAUGCCGUAAACGAUGUGUGUUAGACGUUGGAAUUUUAUUUCAGUGUCGCAGUGAAAACAAUAAACACACCGCCUGGGGAGUACGACC